UACGUAGGGGGCAAGCGUUGUCCGGAUUUAUUGGGCGUAAAGAGCGUGUAGGCGGCCAGGUAGGUCUGCUGUGAAAACUCGAGGCUUAACCUCGAGCUGUCGGCGGAAACCAUCUGGCUAGAGUCCGGAAGAGGAGACUGGAAUUUACGGUGUAGCGGUGAAAUGCGUAGAUAUCGUAAGGAAGACCAGUGGCGAAGGCGGGUCUCUGGACAGUUCCUGACGCUGAGGCACGAAGGUCAGGGGAGCAAACGGG
rnacentral:rRNA from 1 species